AUAUUGCCUGGCAGGAGAGAGAUGGUUAUCAUACAACUGACUUUCCUGGGGUGACGAUUAUCCAUUGCUUUCCAGAUGUGCUAACCCUGUGAUUUCCCCAGCUGGGAGACACUCAGCUACAUAUUUUGUGGUAGCAGGGAAACAGUGGUCAUCCUCUCUCCUA